rnacentral:rRNA from 1 species
CCCGGCGACCGGCGCACGGGUGAGUAACACGUAUGCAACCUGGCCGCCACAGGGGGAUAACCCGCGGAAAUGCGGCCUAAUACCCCGUGACGCCACCGGAGGGCAUCCUCCGGUGGCCAAAGGAGCGAUCCGGUGGCGGAUGGGCAUGCGGCGCAUUAGCUAGACGGCGGGGUGACGGCCCACCGUGGCGACGAUGCGUAGGGGUUCUGAGAGGAAGGCCCCCCACACUGGGACUGAGACACGGCCCAGACUCCUACGGAAGGCAGCAG